UCUCUAUUCCUUGCCUGAUCCAUGAGUAAAGAAAUUGGUGGUGACAUUCACAGAGGGAAUCCCAGAUGGAGAUCCUGCAGCCCACCCAUGGAUCCCACUCCUAAGAUCAAGGGAUUCUAGCCCCAGCCCUGAGAACAAUGAAGGUUUUGCCCGCCCCUGCUCUGGUUGUCCAACAGUCAGUACCAUGGCCCUGUGAUGAAGUCCAAGUGACAGAAAUAGGAGACGGAGACGACGAAGAGGAGGAAAAGGACUAGAAUGGCCUUCUCUGCCUAGCUGCCAGCCCCUUCUCUGCGAGUGCCCACUGAAAUAGCAAAGAACAAUUUAAGUUUCUUUGUCUCCCUUAUCAGUGUGAGCAGCCAAUGUGCUAUGGCAACUACAAUCUUGAAAGUCGGAUGUGAGGGGAGGGGGCUAUCCAGCUGUGGGGAAUGAAUUGCUGGCACACUCAAGGGGCCAGUCCAAGUAAGCCCGCCUGCUACAACAAGAUAAGGUGGCUGGUUACUCAGGCCUCCAUGCGAAUCUGGCAUCACUGUGGCAUCUUGCUGUGUGGGAGAAAUAUCUCCAACCAAGACAAAGAGAUUGCGAUGGCAGAAGUAGUAGUCAGUGCCAAAUUUUACCCUCUAAUUCAAUGGUAGGGCUGAAUCUUAGUGCUCCUCAAAAUAAGGGAGCGAGAGCCUUUGGGUCAUGCCAGGAUAGGCUUCUCGUGCUCCUAUCAAUCCCAAUCCCACACCUUUUCUGCCACUAGAGUUCAGUCCUGAUAGGCAAACCCCUUCUUCAAUAGUCUAGUCCUAACUCCCCCAACAGCUCUGCCGCAGCACCUCAGUCCUACCACACGACAGUCAGAGGUACAACACGCCUCCAAGUGAGUGACAGAUUGUGGCCAGUAAAGUCGUGUUACCUAGUUAUGAAUUGAAGUGCAAAGCCAGCUCUCCCAGAGCAACAAGUGUUACCCUCCUCCAUCCUAAAUUCCCUCAGCGAUUCUAUUUUCACAGCUUCUCCCAUGGCUCCAAAUCCAGUGGUGACAGCAAGUGCUUGGCAACCUCAAAUACCUGCCAGUGCUCCCAUGUGAGGCAUGGGGAGUGUCUGGCCAAGUUGCCCAUUCAGAUGGGGAUGAGCAGGAUAAAUCCUGAUGGAGGCUUUCACCUAACAGUGGACUGUCCUAAACUGCUGUGUGGUGUUGCUGUUUGUGUAUUUGAUGGUGAGAGUCUUACAGUUAUACAGCACCUUUCAUCCCAAAUCAUGCAACAGACUUAAACUCACCAGAGGGGUCACUUCACCCACCUCUGAAAUGCAACAAAUGAAACACAGCAGUUGUUUAGCAGCAUCGCACAACAGUCGAAGGAAGGAAGUAAAGAGGAAUACUUAACAGAAAACAUUGGAUCCGUACUUAAUAAUAAAAGUACGGAGCGCUAUUACAGACCAUGGGCUCGGCCGCGAAGGGAAUAGCAGUAUCGUUCUUCUCACUUUGCGGACUGAGGUACAGACCAGUGACUGCCUCAGAUCACAGGGAGUUAGCGGUAGAACCCAGACAUCCUGCCGCUAAAGUCCCACGCUCUGCCCCUGCUUUAUCCCUUCCAGCACGAGUCUGGUGGUGAGUACUGCAGAUUUCAAUGGGAGUUAGGUGGCUCAAUACCUUGAAGGAUCUGUGCCUCUAGGCCUGUUUCCACAUCUGCCCACAGGGAGAAUAAUCCUUCCUUUCUCUCCCCUGCCCGCCUUUUCUCUCUCGUUAAUGUAGCCUGUAAACUCUUAAGUUUGUGCAACAGCUCCUAGCACCAUGAGGCCCUGAUCUCAGCUAAGGUCACUAGACACUACUAUAAUGCAAAUCAAUAAUCCAUUUCAGCAGCAGAUGCACUGAUUCCUAUCUUCUGUUCGUGAAAAGCACUAGGACCCCCUUCAGGAUGAAAGGCUGCAAGCACCUCAAGCUGGGAUUCCUGUUGUCCUACCUAUCUACUGGUUAACACAGCUGUGGCAGAUGUCCAUGAGAAAUCAACCCCAAGUUAGAUCAUACCAGAGGCAUUACGCAAGUGUUUGAUCAUCCCAACAUGCAGAGGGGGAAGGGUCUGCACCCCUUCUUUUGAAAAUGUUUUCUGGCAAAAACAGAUCUUCAUUAACAUCAGGAUAACGAAUAAUGCACUGCACUCACUGAGCAUCUCAUGGAGCCUUGGAGAAGCUCAGAACACUCUGCAGCCAUUAAUGAAUGAAUCCUCACAGUCCCCAGCAUUCAUAUUAACCUAGACUUCAUCGAUGCGGGAAACUGAAGUGCAGAGAAGUGAGUGCCACACGGUGCAUCAAUUGCAGAGCAAGGGAGAGAACCCAGGAGCCCUGACUCCUAUGACGUCUCCUAUUUUGAAACGAGGACCUGCUUGGGCAUGCUUCUAUCUGCAUCAUUCCCUGUAACAGCUCUCAGCUCUACCAACCAUCCCACCA